rnacentral:rRNA from 1 species
UACGUAGGCAGCAAGCGUUGUUCGGAGUUACUGGGCGUAAAGAGCUCGUAGGCGGUCUGUCGCGUCCGUUGUGAAAACUCGAGGCUCAACCUCGGGCUUGCGGUGGAUACGGGCAGACUAGAGUGCGGUAGGGGAGACUGGAAUUCCUGGUGUAGCGGUGGAAUGCGCAGAUAUCAGGAGGAACACCGAUGGCGAAGGCAGGUCUCUGGGCCGCAACUGACGCUGAGGAGCGAAAGCAUGGGGAGCGAACAGG